rnacentral:rRNA from 1 species
AACGUACGCUGGCGGCACGCCUAACACAUGCAAGUCGAACGAAGUAGCAAUACUUAGUGGCGAACGGGUGAGUAUAAUGUGGGUAUCUGCCUUUUGGUUUGGAAUAACACGGGGAAACUUGUGCUAAUACCGGAUAAGCCUUUACAGGGAAAGUUUUAACGCCGAAAGAUGAGCCCAUACUUGAUUAGCUAGUUGGUAAGGUAAAAGCUUACCAAGGCUACGAUCAAUAGCUGAUCUGAGAGGAUGAUCAGCCACAUUGGGACUGAGACACGGCCCAAACUCCUACGGGGGGCAGCAGUGGGGAAUCUUGCACAAUGGGGGAAACCCUGAUGCAGCGAUGCCGCGUGAGUGAAGAAGGCCUUUGGGUUGUAAAGCUCUUUCGUCGGGGAAGAAAAUGACUGUACCCGAAUAAGAAGGGCCGGCUAACUUCGUGCCAGC